AGAGUUUGAUCAUGGCUCAGGAUGAACGCUGGCGGCGUGCCUAACACAUGCAAGUCGAACGGAGUUACUUUGGUGAAGUUUUCGGAUGGAUCUGAUUUAACUUAGUGGCGGACGGGUGAGUAAUGCGUGAGCAACCUGCCCUUCAGAGGGGGACAACAGUUGGAAACGACUGCUAAUACCGCAUAAUGUAUUCGGAAGGCAUCUUCUGGAUACCAAAGGAGAAAUCCGCUGAUGGAUGGGCUCACGUCUGAUUAGCUAGUUGGUGGGGUAACGGCUCACCAAGGCGACGAUACAUAGGGGGACUGAGAGGUUAACCCCCCACACUGGUACUGAGACACGGACCAGACUCCUACGGGAGGCAGCA
rnacentral:rRNA from 1 species